UGGGGAAUAUUGCACAAUGGAGGGAACUCUGAUGCAGCGACGCCGCGUGAGUGAUGAAGGACUUCGUUUCGUAAAACUCUGUUCUAUGGGAAGAAAAGGACUGUACCAUAGGAGAAAGCUCCGGCUAAAUACGUGCCAGCAGCCGCGGUAAUACGUAUGGAGCGAGCGUUGUCCGGAAUUAUUGGGCGUAAAGGGUGCGCAGGCGGCUUUACAAGUUGGAUGUGAAAUAUUGUGGCUCAGCCACAAACGUGCAUCCAAAACUGCAAAGCUUGAGUUAAGGAGAGGUAAGUGGAAUUCCUGGUGUAGCGGUGGAAUGCGUAGAUAUCAGGAGGAAUACCGGUGGCGAAGGCGACUUACUGGACUUAAACUGACGCUCAGGCACGAAAGCGUGGGGAGCAAACAGG
rnacentral:rRNA from 1 species